rnacentral:rRNA from 1 species
ACACUCCUACGGGAGGCAGCAGUGGGGAAUAUUGGACAAUGGGCGCAAGCCUGAUCCAGCCAUGCCGCGUGAGUGAUGAAGGCCCUAGGGUUGUAAAGCUCUUUCACCGGUGAAGAUAAUGACGGUAACCGGAGAAGAAGCCCCGGCUAACUUCGUGCCAGCAGCCGCGGUAAUACGAAGGGGGCUAGCGUUGUUCGGAUUUACUGGGCGUAAAGCGCACGUAGGCGGACUAUUAAGUCAGGGGUGAAAUCCCGGGGCUCAACCCCGGAACUGCCUUUGAUACUGGUAGUCUUGAGUGCGAGAGAGGUGAGUGGAAUUCCGAGUGUAGAGGUGAAAUUCGUAGAUAUUCGGAGGAACACCAGUGGCGAAGGCGGCUCACUGGCUCGAUACUGACGCUGAGGUGCGAAAGCGUGGGGAGCAAACAGGAUUAGAUACCCUUGUAGUCCCAU